rnacentral:rRNA from 1 species
GGUUUGAUUCUGGCUCAGAUUGAACGCUGGCGGAUGCUUUACACAUGCAAGUCGAAUGGCAGCACGGACUUGGUCUGGUGGCGAGUUACGAACGGGUGAGUAAUGUAUCGGAACGCCCAGUAUGGGGAUAACUACGCUGUGCCAGCAUGGCUUACACCCUUCCGGGAAAGCGGGGGAUCUCUGGCCUCGCACGCUGAGUUAUUGAUACCAGAUUGUGUUUGGUUGGCGGGUAACGGCUCACCGGCGAUCCAGCUGGUUUGAGAUAUUUGACCUGCGCCCGCUUAUCGGGACUGAGACACGGCCCAGACUCCUACGGAGGCAGCAGUGGGGAAUUUUGACAAUGGGGAAACCUCGAUCCAGCCGUAUCCCGCGUGUGCGAUGGCUGGCCUCACAGUACACUUUGGCAGGAAAGAAACGGUACGGGAUAAUAUUCCCGCCAACCGACGGUACCUUGCAGAAUAAGCACCGGCUAACUACGUGCGCCAGCAGCCGCGGUAAUACGCGGGUGCAAGCACCGGAAUUACCUGGCGUAAAGCGCGUGCAGGCGGUUCGGAAAGAAAGAUGAACUCAGAGCUAACUUGGAACUGGCAUUUUUAAAUCACCGAGCUGGAGUGUCAGAGGGAGGGAAUUCCAGCAGCGAGCGUAGAUAUGCGGAGGAACACCGAUGGCGAAGGCAGCCUCCUGGGAUAACACUGACGCCUACGCACGAAAGCGUGGGGAGCAAACAGGAUUAGAUACCCCGGUAGUCCACGCCCCGCAAACGAUGUCAACUAGCUGUUGGGGCCUGGGCCUUGGUAGCGCAGCUAACGCGUGAAGUUGACCGCCUGGGGAGCAUGGUCGCAAGAUUAAAACUCAAAGGAAUUGACGGGGACCGCAGGGCCAAGCGGCGAGAUGAUGGGAUUAACUGUUGAUGCGACGCGAAAACCUUACCUACCCUUACAUGUUCAAUCCCAGUAGAUUGGGGAGUGCUCGGCAAAAGAGAACCGGAACGCGGCGGUGCUGCAUGGCUGUCGUCAGCUCGUGUCGGUUGGGUUAAGUCCCGCAACGAGCAACCCUUGUCAUUAGUUGCUACGAAAGGCACGCCCCACGAGAUCUGGUGACAAACCGAGGGAAGGUGGGGACGACGUCAAGUCCUCAUGGCCCUUUUUCAUGGGUAGGGCUUCACAUCGUCGCACAAUGGUCGGACAGAGGGUCGCCAACCCGCGAGGGGGAGCCAAUCCCAGAAACCCGGAUCGUAGUCCGGAUCGCAGUCUGCAAACUCGAUCGCGUGUGAAGUCGGAAUCGCUAGUAAUCGCGGAUCAGUAGUAGUCGCGGUGAAUACGUUCCCGGUCUUGCACACACCGCCCGUCACAGUCCGAGUGGGUUUUACCAGAAGUAGUUAUCAUCCAAGAGUACAUUACCACGCAGAUUCAUGACUGGGGCGAAGUCGUAACAAUAAG